AAAGAAGCCCCGCCAGUAGUUGCGCACCGCAAAGAAGGUGGAGGUGACCUCAAUGCUGAAUAGCACACCUGCGGGGGUGGGGGCAGGGAGGCCGCCCUUGAGGCCUGGGCCUGGCCCAUGGCCUCUGACCCAAGGGCCGGGCUGGGGCUGACCCUCUCUGCCCACCUCCAAUGGGAGCCGCAAAGCAGCAGCCCACCCCCACGGCACAGGCGGCAGCCAGCAUCUCUGUGUUCCGGGAUUCAUUCUGGCGAAGAGUAGUGGGAAGGGGAGUCGGCAUUAGCGUGGGCUCAGCGGUCCACCCCACCCCUAAACCUUCCCCCAACGUCCCCCUCACCUCGUAGAUGCCCCCAAACAGCGAGAGGAACUUGCUGAGAAGGGCGGCACACAUGCUUGCGAUAUGCACAAAAGGGCCCUGGGAGGUAGAGGCAGGUGCCUGAGGAGCCAGGAUCUGUGUGAAUCCGGCAGAGAAAGUGAUGAGGACGACGGGGUAGGUGACCCAGGCCAGAUACUGGAGUAACAGCCCUCGUCCUCACCCUGCAGACAGGCAGCGAUGGCGUAGUCCAUGGCCCAGCUGACCAGGGCCAUGAGGAGCCCCAGCAGGACUAGGAAGAUCCAGUCUUCACCAACCCUGGACACUAGGAACUUAUGGCAGUGUACGGU